rnacentral:rRNA from 1 species
CUUGCUAUCAGGCGUCGAGCGGCGGACGGGUGAGUAAUACUUAGGAAUCUACCUAGUAGUGGGGGAUAGCACGGGGAAACUCGUAUUAAUACCGCAUACGACCUACGGGAGAAAGGGGGCAGUUUACUGCUCUCGCUAUUAGAUGAGCCUAAGUCGGAUUAGCUAGAUGGUGGGGUAAAGGCCUACCAUGGCGACGAUCUGUAGCUGGUCUGAGAGGAUGAUCAGCCACACCGGGACUGAGACACGGCCCGGACUCCUACGGGAGGCAGCAGUGGGGAAUAUUGGACAAUGGGGGAAACCCUGAUCCAGCCAUGCCGCGUGUGUGAAGAAGGCCUUUUGGUUGUAAAGCACUUUAAGCAGUGAAGAAGACCAUACGGUUAAUACCCGUAUGCGAUGACAUUAGCUGCAGAAUAAGCACCGGCUAACUCUGUGCCAGCAGCCGCGGUAAUACAGAGGGUGCAAGCGUUAAUCGGAAUUACUGGGCGUAAAGCGAGCGUAGGUGGCUUGAUAAGUCAGAUGUGAAAUCCCCGGGCUUAACCUGGGAACUGCAUCUGAAACUGUUAAGCUAGAGUAGGUGAGAGGGAAGUAGAAUUUCAGGUGUAGCGGUGAAAUGCGUAGAGAUCUGAAGGAAUACCGAUGGCG